CAGUGAGGAAUAUUGGACAAUGGGCGCAAGCCUGAUCCAGCCAUGCCGCGUGCAGGAAGAAGCAUCUAUGGUGUGUAAACUGCUUUUGUACAGGAAGAAACACUCCCUCGUGAGGGAGCUUGACGGUACUGUAAGAAUAAGGAUCGGCUAACUCCGUGCCAGCAGCCGCGGUAAUACGGAGGAUCCAAGCGUUAUCCGGAAUCAUUGGGUUUAAAGGGUCCGUAGGCGGUCUAAUAAGUCAGUGGUGAAAGCCCAUCGCUCAACGAUGGAACGGCCAUUGAUACUGUUAGACUUGAAUUACUGGGAAGUAACUAGAAUAUGUAGUGUAGCGGUGAAAUGCUUAGAUAUUACAUGGAAUACCAAUUGCGAAGGCAGGUUACUACCAGUGGAUUGACGCUGAUGGACGAAAGCGUGGGGAGCGAA
rnacentral:rRNA from 1 species